AUGCCUUUAGGUUACCUGUUGUCAUUAAAGAUUAUUGAAUUAGGAGUUCCUGUCGUGGUGCAGUGGUUAACGAAUCCGACUAGGAACCAUGAGCCACGACAGGAACUCCAAAGAUGGAUAUUCUAUCCCAGCAGAUAUACCAUUAAAGAGAAUUUGAAAAACUGAAGAGGGUUUUAUUUAUUUCUUUCUUUAUUUUUGUUGAGGCAGUAUUAUUUAUUUUUUUUUUAUUUUUUGUCUUUUUUGUCUUUUGUUGUUGUUGCUAUUUCUUGGGCCGCUCCCGCGGCAUAUGGAGGGUCCCAGGCUAGGGGUUGAAUCGGAGCUGUAGCCACUGGCCUACGCCAGAGCCACAGCAACGCGGGAUCCGAGCUGCGUCUGCAACCUACACCACAGCUCAUGGCAACGCCGGAUCAUUAACCCACUGAGCAAGGGCAGGGACCGAACCCGCAACCUCAUGGUUCCUAGUCGGAUUCGUUAACCACUGCGCCACGACGGGAACUCCGCAGUAUUAUUUAAUUUCAGUUUUCACAAGCACUCAUCAGGCUGAUUCCUUUCCACAAAUCUACACCUUCUCACCACUCUGUGGCUGGGUUGUGUGUCAUUUAUAUUAAUGUGUAGCAAUUCUGUAUUGAUUAUAAAUACAAAUCUUGAGCCAUUGCUAUCUGUUGCAAAUACACAUUCCCAGCAUGUAUGUUAAUUGAUACAUUUACAAUGUACUUAAUGGAUAUGGCAUCCUUAUAAUUUUUUUUUUUUUGCUUUUUUAGGGCUGCACCUGUGGGACAUGGACACUCCCAGGCUAGGGGUCAAAUCAGAGCUGUAGCUGCCAGCCACAGCCACAGCCACAGCAAUGUAGAAUCUGAGCCUUGUCUGUGGCCUACACCACAGCCCACGGUGACACUGGAUCCUUAACCCACUGAGCAAGGCCAGGGAUCAAACCUGCAUCCUCAUGGAUGCUCGUCAGAUUCAUUAACCACUGAGCCAUGAUGGGAAUUCCAUGAUGUCCUUAUAAUUUUGACACAAUCACAUUUGCUUUCUUUAGGGAUGGACUCUCUGCAUAUAUGCAGCAGAGAGGGAGAAGGGGAGGGUUCAAUCAUUUCACAUGCAUAUUUCAUCAGCUCUCCUGUUCUCACCCCACUUAUAACCAACAUGUGCCUUGUUUCAUUGACUUACAAGCCUCUCAAGAGGUGAACCAUUAACUCUUCACCCUAAACCCUCAACAAGCCACUAAGACAAAGUGUUCUCCCAUGUUCCACACCGGCUACCACACCUACUCCCUGUUUGCUCUCUUCACACUUCCUGGCUUUUACUCACAUACUCCACUAUUCAUUUGAUCAUUUUCCUCCCCUUACUGCCACUGAGUGCAGGGACAAGCUAUGAAUGAGUGUGAUCCACUCACCCCCUUUGAAUGCAAAGACUGCACAUUCUCUGCUAGCUCUGAAGCCCUCUUUCCAGGAAAAUCCUCAUUCCUUUGCACAGACAAGGGAUGGCUGCCCCGCUCAUUGUGAGAGUGAGUCUUUUUUUUCUUAAUCACAUCUUUAGU
rnacentral:lncRNA from 1 species